GACGAACGCUGGCGGCGUGCUUAACACAUGCAAGUCGAACGGAAAGGCCCUGCUUUUGUGGGGUGCUCGAGUGGCGAACGGGUGAGUAACACGUGAGUAACCUGCCCUUGACUUUGGGAUAACUUCAGGAAACUGGGGCUAAUACCGGAUAGGAGCUCCUGCUGCAUGGUGGGGGUUGGAAAGUUUCGGCGGUUGGGGAUGGACUCGCGGCUUAUCAGCUUGUUGGUGGGGUAGUGGCUUACCAAGGCUUUGACGGGUAGCCGGCCUGAGAGGGUGACCGGCCACAUUGGGACUGAGAUACGGCCCAGACUCCUACGGGAGGCAGCAGUGGGGAAUAUUGCACAAUGGGCGCAAGCCUGAUGCAGCGACGCCGCGUGGGGGAUGACGGCCUUCGGGUUGUAAACUCCUUUCGUCAGGGACGAAGCGAAAGUGACGGUACCUGGAGAAGAAGCACCGGCUAACUACGUG
rnacentral:rRNA from 1 species